rnacentral:rRNA from 1 species
UACGUAGGGGGCCAGCGUUGCUCGGAAUUACUGGGCGUAAAGGGUUCGUAGGCGGUGUGGCAAGUCGGAAGUGAAACCUCCAGGCUUAACUUGGAGACUGCUCCCGAAACUGCCAUGCUAGAGUCCGGAAGAGGAGAGUGGAAUUCCUGGUGUAGCGGUGAAAUGCGCAGAUAUCAGGAAGAACACCCGUGGCUAAGGCGGCUCUCUAGUACGGUACUGACGCUGAGACGCGAAAGCGUGGGGAGCGAACAGG